UAAGAGUGACACAAUUCUAGGUGCGUUUGGCCAAGCUCGGAGAAACACGUAUACACAUACACACAAAGAGGCAAACUCACACAUAGUUAUACCUGGGGGUGGGGGGUGUCCUUAAAAUUGGGCUGUGAAAGAGACCCGGGCACUGUGCUCUUCACAUAAAGGCUGUGCAUAAAUGCUCGAGGAGACAGUGACAGCCUUGGACCCUGUGGGCAAGUGGGAACGUGCAAACAGAAAGAAUUUCGGUUGGCGGGGGUGGCUGUGGACUUUGGGCCGGGUAUGAUGCUCAUAGAGAUCAGUCACCAAAACGGCUGGCAGGUCCUGGGCCACCCGUGCUCUCGCGUAAUAUUUCAGCAUGGCCUGGGAGCAGCAGGCCCUCUGUCUUGAGUGCUGUUUGCGCCGGUAGACUCCUUUUCAACAUGGAGCCGCAAAACCAUUCCACCAGCUCUCACACUUUCUUAGCUGCUGGAGUCCUGGCAGGGAUGGGAACCUUCACCGACUCACCUCUGAGCUCUGAGAAGGAGUUAGAAAUCAGUCUGGGGAGUUCCUGUUGUGACUCAGUGGAAGCAAACUAGACUAGUAUCCAUGAGGAUGCAGGUUUGAUCCCUGGACCCACUCAGUGGGUUAAGGAUCCAGUGUUGCGCAGAGCCGUGGUGGUGGCUGCUGGAGCUCAGCAUCAACUCCUAGCCUGGGAACUUCCAUAUGCUGCACCUGUAGCACGAAAAAGAAAAAAAUAAAAUAAAAUAAAUCAGUCCAGGGUUGUGUGUGUAGACGGGUACACUGGAGGAGGUACGGGAGACUCGGGUUUAUCCCCCACCUCUUUUCAUGAGGCAGGAAUGAUGAUCCUUAUUGUCAAAGUCCAAACACCCUGGACCACAAAAGAGGAUGACGUUGAGGAUGAAGGGAAGGCUCAGGAGUGAGAAGUUUGGGAAACAGCAGUUGGGAGACAAGCUCUCUGAAGAGCAUGCCGAGGGAUGUCAGGGAUAGAAAGACACAGGGGUAGGCGCCCCAUCCCCGAUUGGGUUGCAAGAAUUCCCCGACACGAGGCUGCAGAGGAUGCACUGACUGUUAGAAAGAGGAAGGACGGCUUGAAUUAUAUACUGAGAAGGAGCUCCUGGAACCAGGCACAGUAGCCUCUGUGGCAGGAAGUGGAGGGAAGGGGCUUACUGGUUCCACGUGGGUGACUCUAGCUUUGCUCAGGGGAGCCCUGCCUAAAUUCCUAAGAGCCUUGGGAGCUCCUGACCCUCCGAUUCCAUUCUUCCCCCUCUGUGCAGCCAGGUAGCUGCCUUUCCUGGCGCUCCCCGCCCACCCCCACGUGCUCUUUCAAUUCCAACCAGGUUUUCCUAACACAGUUACAAAAAAAGCACAGGAUUAAGAAGCAAACCACAGCGGCCGUGAACCUGGGAUGGCUUCUUCCCGUCUCUCCUUAGUCUCCUCUGGUGUGACAACCAGGAGCAAGGGAGUGAGAAAUUGGGGCUCCCUGCAUGAAUAUUCUGGAAGCUUAUUUCACUUGCCAAUGUGACACCUUGAGUGCACUUCGCACUUCUGCUGUUUCUCUCCAUAGUCAUUAUCUGAGAUUCACGAGAACUGGAUACGGUUACAUGUCCUGGAGUUUUCUCCAGUGUACACUUUGCAAUUUAAAGAUACAGAUAUAGUAAAUGUAUUAUGAUUACCUGUGAGCCCUUAGUGUAACUAAAGGGGAUCAAGCUGCCGUGGUUUAAAAUUUUAUUGUAUAAUCUACCCUUGGUCCACUCCUUAAAGCGCCGAGGUCCUUAUGAUUUGGGACCAAGGGAUAAAACAUGAGUCCAAGUCUUUAUAUAAUGGUUGGAAAUGACAUGAUGUGUAUAUGAGGAUGCAGUGUAUACACCAGGUCAAAAUUCCUUCCCCUCAAACCACAUUGAAGGGUUUCAGACCACACAGUGCAACACACACAUACAGGCACACACCCCACGCACGCACCCCACAACCCAGAUCCAAUUUUGCUCAGUUCUCUAACUGCUGCUGGGAGCACUGCGUCCAUCAUUGCUUUGCCCCGGGAGCUUUCCAAUGCCACACUCUGACCACCCCCUUCAGUGGCUGAUACCUUCGGGCAGCCUUCUGGAGAAACAGUAGGCAUGUUAUUUGUAUUCACCCUGAAUAGUUAGAAUAUUUUGUUUGUCUUUGGCAAAGCCCCGAGAAUUCCAGACUGGUGACUCAUCAGCCUGGACUGAGGCUUCGUUAGAGGUAACUCUGUUCUCCUUCUUUGGCUCUUCUCUUAGCCCCUGGCCAUCGAGGUCUGUGUUAAGGGCAGCACAUGCUUAUUUAGGGGUGCCCUGUGCCUUGUUAUUGAAAUCUUUUAUGAAGAGGUUAUCAAAGCUCUUGAUUCUGAAGGGUAAAAAAAAACCCCUAACUUGGAUUUCUUUAGCAGUUUUAUGAUGCCUUAGAGAGAGGACCAAGUUGUUCAGUUUAUAAAAGCAAAGAGGCAAAGGGAAGACACCCAUCUGAUGCCCUGGAAAGGGUGAUUCUGAUGUACCAGUUUGAGGCAUAAGGAAGGACUCAGUUGGUAAAGCAGUGGGUUAUGGCUCUACAUUCAAAAGGUUGGCAGGUCCUCCAGCCACCGUCUGGCCUAGUGAGCUCACCGACACCUGCCAGACUCAUCCUCUGGAUGGAGAGCCCGCUACGUUCGCCGCCUACGUUUUGUUGGGGCUUUAGCCACACUUUCCCUGCCUUCCUCCAUAAGCCUAUUGAUAUCAGCAUCUCAUGAGUAUCCCCAUUGGCUUCUGUAUGUGCUGUGUGGUCGGUGAUACCCAGCAAAGUACCCCGGAUGAGACAUAGGCAGAGUCCCUAGGUAUCCCACACACUGAAGUUGGAGGUGAAGGCCAAAGACAGUACGUUCCAGCGGACAUUCCAGAAUGAUCAUCUAGCUCUUAUAGAAUUGGGAAGCAUAAAGUAAGUCUCUUUUCCUCACCUGAAGUGGCCCUGAGUGGACAGCUCAUCACCUUUGAGCCUGUUCUAGAGCCUUUAUUUUUCAAGGAGAAAGUCAGUGGCCGAAGGAGUAGAAUGAAUUGCUUGGACUCAUUCUUUUCAAGUCUCUGCUCAACAAUAUGGAAGGACAUGAACACUGUCUCAAAAUUUAGUGUUCAUGAGAAUAUUUAUUCAAGGACUAAAUUCCAAAUGUCACAGCAAAUCCCAUUAAUGGAAGUGGCUAAAUACUCAUAUGGAGAAAAAAUCCGAUGUUUAGUUCCUGUGUCUUUGGUUCUUAGCCCUGAAACAUUCUUGUCAUUAUCUAUUGACCUUUCUUCACUCUUUGUCUCCUACAUGUCGCCAGUGUUUUUAAGCAAAUUAAUAACGUGUGUACAGGUGGCCAAUCUGCUGUGCCCUCCCACAUGCCCCGAAACCCUUGGAGGUCCUUUCUAGCCCUACAUGACCCAGCAUCCUGCCAAAGAGAAGUGUGGGCUCUUCCGCUCCUGAGCCACUUGAGCUUGAGUUAACGAGAGUGUGUCAAGUUGGAGAAGCUAAGGUUGGGUGGCUUUUCUUCAUUGCCAGCCUGAGAAGGUAUUUUUUCUACCUUGAACCGCAGUAGAGGAAGAUGUAUGCAGAUGCUCCACAGACACAAUUUCCCAUCAAAACGGGAGCCCAUGUGCUUUCAAGCUAAAUAGGCUUUGGUAGAUUGGCCCAGACGUCUAAGCUCCAUUUAUGACUUGGUUUCUAUGGAAGAAAAAUCAUUUUAAAUUCUAAAUAAUCAUGAAAUCCAAAGACAUUUUCAGAGUACACACAUCGUGACUCCUUCUUGGUCAAGUAGGGUGACAAGGCACUGACUUCCUCUAGUAGCCUCAGCGUAAUUAGUAAGAGGAGAGGAACCGAGCCCCGUCACCUACUGCUAGAUCUUAGGGAUUCCUUAAGUAACUGCAAAUGAACGGCAACUCUCAUAAACUGAGUCAGGAAAUGAGUGCCCCAAACCGAGUCAUGGAAAUUUUAAGUUCUGGUGUUUGGUUUAGACUAGUUUAUUUCUCCAGGUGUUUUUUUUUUUUUUUUUUUUUUUUUUUUUCUGCAUUUCUCAUGUUCCAGGCUCCAUACUAAAGUGCAUGGCUUUGUUAUCUCAUUUCACCCUUAUAAUGUGCGAAGAGGGAGUUUUAUAUUUAACUGCACAGAAAUCUGCUUUUGCCUAGAACGUAUAUCCAUAGUACAAAUGGGGAUGCCUCCUGUAUCCUAGGAAAUGAGCUAGGACCUGCCUGAGAUUGCACCCUUUUGCUAAGUGACGGGAUGGACCCAGCUCUCUCCCCGCCUGCCUCGCUGCCCAUGCGGGUACAGCACAUGGUACUGAGAUAGUGGCUGCUCUGUACGAGAGAGGGGCAACCUCGCUUUUUUAAAUGACUGGGUUCUCCAGAAAUUGUUCCCCUCCUAAAAGGACAGGAUUGCUUAUUUCCCUAAAAUUGAACUGAUGCAAAAUUCAGCCCCAGGAAGAUAGAACCAUACCAUCCUGUAUUUUGGACAAACAAAGUCACUUCACAUUUUGGAGCCAUUUCUUGAUUUGUCUUCUCAUCCCUUGCUCCUCUUUGGUCCCUUGCUAAUCGUAUUUCUGGAGCCCUGGUUCUAAGUCAUACCUAUGUGCUUUGUGGGGAGAGCCUAUAUGAAUGGGUGGAAGGUUUGUUUGAAAUGGCAGCGCCAGGUAAAAAAAUAUGCGUGCUCUUAAUAUCAUAGAGCCGUUUCCUCAGCGUAGUCUAAAAACUCCCUGGCAGUGCUAGUUAAAAAUGCAGAUUCCAGUUUAGCCGUAAAAAGGAAUGAAAUAAUGCCGUUUGCAGCAAAAUGGAUGGAUCUAGGGAUUGUCAUCCUAAGUGAAGUAAGUCAAACACAAAUAUCAUGAUAUCACAUGUUUCUAGAACCCCCCCAAAAUGAUACAAGUGAACUUAUUUGCAAAACAAAAAUAGACCCACAGACAUGGCAGACAAACUUAUGGUCACCAAAGGGUGCAGGAGGCAGGGAGGUAUAAAUUAGGAAUUUGGGAUUAACAGAUACACACACUAUCUAUAUAAAAUAGAUAAAAAACAGGACCUGCUCUAUAGUACAGGGAACUCUAUUCAAUAGCUUAUAAUAGCCUAUAAUGGAAAAGAGGCUGAGAAAGAAUAUCUGUUUUAUAUAUAUGACACAUGUAUAUAAAGCACGGAAUCACUUUGAUGUGCACUCGAAACUGACUAACGUUGUCAAUCAGCUAUGCUCCAAAGUGAAAAAAUGCAGAUUCCUGAGCUCCUUUCUUGCGCUGUUUAGUCCACAUUUCUCAGGAAGACCCAGAACUCUGCAUCUGAAACACCGCACAAAAGGAUCCUGAGAGACGCUGUCGUCUGAGAAUCACGGAUGUCACAAAAGAUGAUCUAAGGCAAAAACGAUCCAACGCCACGCACGUGCUCCCCUGCCCAGAGUUCAUUUAGUGGUUUCACUCCGAAGGACUUCCUUUGUAUGGCGAGUCCAGAGGGUCCUUCUCACUUGUACAUUUCCUUUCCUUCUCAUUCAUUUCUUCCCAGAGUUCCUUUUUCAAACUUCUGUGCUCUUCACAAGGACUGAUCAAUGAACUUACACAUGAAAGACAAACUUAAACUCGUCUCAUCUCUUUUCAUCCCCUCCACAGCAAAUGCCCUUUCAUCUUCGCAGACAUUCCAAAAUGUGGCAAGAAAGAUGGCUCUUGCAACAGAUGCAAUUCUUUCGAGGUCUCUAGGUAACAUUUUAACCUAUGUAAUGUUCACUGCACAGCAUCUUAAGUAAUAUUCCAGGAAAUACGCUGCUGCUUGUUAAAAAGGAUAGGACCCCAGAGAUGUGUCUUUAAAUAUGCCUGUAAACUGAGAGGUGCCAAGAGAAAGAUAAUAUGGCUGAUUAUAGUUAUUUACCUUACAUUUUCAUUCGCUUUUAACUGGGUGUAAUUUAGGGGCAUGAAAUCUCUUAUUGGAAGUGUAUUUGCAUUAAACAGCUCUAAGCAACCAUGAAAGUGCAGAAACUGAAAAAUUGACAGACUGGGUUCCUAGAAUCCCAAAGUAGCAUUUUUGUAAUAGGCAUACAAACAAAUCGAAUAAACAUGUUUUGCUUCAGCGAUUUAAAGAAUAUGGUCUUUGGAGUAAUUUGUCUUUUUUUAACUAUCAUUUCUAACCUUUUCAUUGCCUAUCUCUAGUUUGCAGCUCCCCCUAACAGUCUGCGGUAAUUUCCCAACCAGCUGUUGGUGUGCCAGUGCUCCGGGCUUCGUUUCCAUUUCCUUCAGCUAUCAAAUCAUCCUAUAAAGGGGAUUACCUGAGCACUGUUGUUUCCCAGGGUUGCUUUAGGGGUAAGUUUGUUGCUCUGUUUGGGGGUUUUGUUGUCUCCAGAUGCUGCACUGUAUGGAAGGGAUGCUUACCAAAAAUUGCAAUGGCCCUGAGUGGCCAGGUUCAGGCCAAGGGUCAGAAGAUGCUUCCGGUAAACAGAGCAUCUCUUUCUCCUCAACUAACAGCAACGCAUCUAAGCAUGCAUCUGUUGAAAUGAGAGCUCCAAUUUUUCCGUUUUUGUAAAGGGUUGCAGCCACUUUCAUUGGAAGAGAACGUAUGUUCGUUUCACUGGUCUUGGCAU
rnacentral:lncRNA from 1 species